UGGAGUCAGUGGGGGCACUCUAAGACCCCAGUUUAAUGGGGGAGUCGGGGGGGUCUCUUUGGAACCAAAUUGGGUUGAAGGGGAAGGGGCGUGGGGGGCAAUCUUUAUGCCUACGGCGCCCCCUAGUGGUCACCCACAGCCACGACAGGGGAACUUUGUGUCCUUCCGUGCAGGGGGGCAGAGCUUAGGGGCGGGCCCAUAUGAGUGUAUAUGGCCCGGCCCCCUCCCAUCAUCAGCGCUUCCUGCCCCGGGGCUGCGCCGCACCCAACGCUGCGUUCCGGGUUUCUAUAUAAAGGGUCAACGUGGGAUCCCAGACUCCAACCCCAAUGGCUUCCAAGGCCAACAUGGGCUCCCAUCAUGGCCUGGUGAGACACGGCAACAGCUGAACGCAGAGCUCACGAGGUACGAAGGGGAACUGAAGGCUGUGAUGAAGAAGCUGAAGGAGGAAUAUGGCGACGUCGUGACCUUAAAGGGCCGAAGCUAUGAGAAAGAUGGAUGGAGAACCGGGGGGAGAUGCUCUACAGGCUGCAGCAGGGCAGGAGAGCUGCUGCCAUGGGGGGCAUCAAGCAGCCAAAGGUGGGAAGGUGCUGAGGUGGAGUUUGGAAGCCCCACGGCUUAAUUUGGGGUCUGGUUUUGGGUUCAUUUUGCAUCAUUUUGGGCCUGUUAUUUAGGGUUUGGAUUUUGGGUUCAUUUUUAGGCCCACAAUGUGUCAGUUCUGUGCGUUGAGGCUGAAGGGGGAAGUGGGGGGUUGGGGAUGGGAUGGAGGGGUUAAUUGGUUCCUAUAAAAUGGAAGGGGAAGGAUUUGGGGCCAUCAAUGAGGGGUUCGUUGGUUCCUAUAAAUGGAAGGGAUGGAUUUGGGGUGGUGGAUGAAGGUUCAUUGGUGAUGGGUUUGGGGGUCAUGGGUGGAGGUACAUUGGAGAUGGAUUUUGGGGCUGUGGAUAAAGGGGUUCAUUGUUCCUCUAAUGGAGGGAUGAAUUGGGGCUGUGAAUAAAGGUUCAUUGGAGAUGGA